rnacentral:rRNA from 1 species
CAGUCGCCACGGUAAUACGGAGGGGGCUAGCGUUGUUCGGAAUUACUGGGCGUAAAGCGCACGUAGGCGGCUUGGUAAGUUAGAGGUGAAAGCCCGGAGCUCAACUCCGGAAUUGCCUUUAAGACUGCCGAGCUAGCAGGUGAGAGAGGUAAGUGGAAUUCCGAGUGUAGAGGUGAAAUUCGUAGAUAUUCGGAAGAACACCAGUGGCGAAGGCGGCUUACUGGCUCAUACUGGACGCUGAGGUGCGAAAGCGUGGGGAGCAAACAGGAUUAGAUACCCGUGUAGUCCCUGUCUCUUAUAC